rnacentral:rRNA from 1 species
UUGACUUUUCGGAGGAUUUCAUUUGUGACUGAGCGGCGGACGGGUGAGUAACGCGUGGGUAACCUGCCUCAUACAGGGGGAUAACAGUUAGAAAUGACUGCUAAUACCGCAUAAGCGCACAGUACCGCAUGGUACAGUGUGAAAAACUCCGGUGGUAUGAGAUGGACCCGCGUUUGAUUAGCUAGUUGGUGGGGUAACGGCCUACCAAGGCGACGAUCCAUAGCCGGCCUGAGAGGGUGAACGGCCACAUUGGGACUGAGACACGGCCCAGACUCC